rfam:Papio anubis isolate 1X1155 chromosome 9, whole genome shotgun sequence.
AGCUACAGCCAUACAACCCUGAUCAUGCUCCAUCUCAUCUGAUCUCAGAAGCUAAACAGGGUCAGGCCUGGUUAGUACUUGGAUGGGAGGCAGGAAUGGGACAGAACCUGGCUGCUCAGAAC